ACGCUCGACACCUACGUGAGGCAGCAGUGGGGAAUAUUGCACAAUGGGGGAAACCCUGAUGCAGCGACGCCGCGUGAGCGAAGAAGUAUUUCGGUAUGUAAAGCUCUAUCAGCAGGGAAGAAACUGACGGUACCUGACUAAGAAGCACCGGCUAAAUACGUGCCAGCAGCCGCGGUAAUCUGAGGCGGGCUGGCAAGGC
rnacentral:rRNA from 1 species